rnacentral:rRNA from 1 species
UACGUAGGGUGCAAGCGUUAAUCGGAAUUACUGGGCGUAAAGCGUGCGCAGGCGGUUAUGUAAGACAGGUGUGAAAUCCCAGGGCUUAACCUUGGAACUGCAUUUGUGACUGCAUAGCUAGAGUACGGUAGAGGGGGAUGGAAUUCCGCGUGUAGCAGUGAAAUGCGUAGAUAUGCGGAGGAACACCGAUGGCGAAGGCAAUCCCCUGGACCUGUACUGACGCUCAUGCACGAAAGGCGUGGG